rnacentral:rRNA from 1 species
GACGAACGCUGGCGGCGUGCCUAAUACAUGCAAGUCGAGCGGAUGAAUCGAAAGCUUGCUUUUGAUUCGUUAGCGGCGGACGGGUGAGUAACACGUGGGCAACCUGCCCUGUAGACGGGGAUAACACCGAGAAAUCGGUGCUAAUACCGGAUAACAUUAAAUGUCGCAUGACGUUUCGUUGAAAGACGGCCCAAGCUGUACUUACAGGUGGGGCCCGCGGCGCAUUAGCUAGUGGGUGAGGUAACGGCUAACCAAGGCGACGAUGCGUAGCCGACCUGAGAGGGUGAUCGGCCACACUGGGACUGAGACACGGCCCAGACUCCUACGGGAGGCAGCAGUAGGGAAUCUUCCGCAAUGGACGAAAGUCUGACGGAGCAACGCCGCGUGAGCGAAGAAGGCCUUCGGGUCGUAAAGCUCUGUUGUUAGGGAAGAACAAGUAACGAAGUAACUGGCGUUACCGUGACGGUACCUAACGAGAAAGCCACGGCUAACUACGUG